rnacentral:rRNA from 1 species
AGUCUAGAUCAUACCACCUGAACGCACCCGAUCUCAUCUGAUCUCAGAAGCUAAGCAGGGUCGGGCCUGUUUGGCACUUGGACGG